UCACAAAAACAGGUGGCAGGGUAGAUUUGGUCUCUGUACUGUAGUUCACUGACCCCUGAUCUAAAAGAUUACAUACUUUGAAAACAGCAAUGCCAAACCUUGAAUCCAGGUCCGAUAUUUUCCAGCAAUCGUGAUGCUUCUCUGAUCAACUGAAUGAAACAGUUAUAAAUGUACUGGCUAAAUUUAGCUUUAUGCACUUGUUUUGUCCCCUAUUACAGUAUAAACUUUUGGUGAAUAGGGAUUUUCAAAUUAAUUAAAGCGCUUAUUUUUAUACCCAAUACACACAAAUACAGAACUUUACUAUAGCAGAUUUUUGACCCCAAUUUAGUGUGCUAUCUGAAUAAAAGGCUUAGUAACUAAAAAAAGUGCUGUCUUAGAUUUCUGAACUAUUUUUUUUUUUUUUUUUUUUUUUUGGAGACAGAGUCUUGCUCUGUCACCCACACCAGAAUGCAGUGGCACCAUCAUGGCUCCCUGCAGCUUUGACCUCCUGGGUUCAAACGAUUUUCUCAUCUCAGCCUCCCCAGUAGCUGGGACUACAGAUGCGCACCACCACACCUGGCUAAUGUUAAUUUUCUGUGGAGACAGGGUCUUGUCAUGUUGCCCAGACUGGUCUUGAACUCCGGAGCUCAAGCGAUCCUCUUGCCUCGGCCUUCCAACAUGCUGGGAUUACAGGCGUGAGCCAGCAUGCCUGGCUGAAACUAUUUUUACAGAGAACUUAGGUGGUGAUAUGGUUUGGCUCUGUCCCCACCCAAAUCUCAUCUUGAAUUAUAGCUCCCAUAAUCCCCACCUGUCACGGGAGGGACCUGAUGGGAGGUAAUUGAAUCAUGGGGGUGGGUUUUCCCAUGCUGUUCUUGUCCAUAGUGAGUAUGUCUCGGAAGAGCUAAUGGUUUUAUAAAAGGGAGUUCCCCUGUGCAAGCUCUCUUGCCUGCUGCCAUAUAAGAUGUGCCUUUUCUCCUCCUUUGCUGUCCACCAUGAUUGUGAGGCCUCCCCAGGCAUGUGAGACUGAGUCCAUUCAACUUCUUUUUCUUUAUAAAUUACCCAGUCUCAGGCAUGUCCUUCUAGCAGUGUGAGAAUGGACUAAUACAGAUGGCCUUAUCCUGUUUUUCCACAGAGCUAUCUGAGGUACUAUAUAAUCAUCAAAAAGAAUAAGGCAAUUCUAUAGGUAUUAAUGUAGGAUUAGAGCUAAAAUACUAUGCUGAGAAAAAAGUAAGCUACAACAGUUUGUUUCCAUCUAUUAAAAAUGAGGAUGGGGAUAUAUAUGUAUGUAUGAGUAAAUGAUUGGACAGCUUAAAUUAUUUUUGAGAGAAUAUUCAAUAAAACAGUAAAAAUAGCUGUUUCUGGGAAAGGAAAAUGGGUAAUUAGGGCUACAGCUGGAAAAAAGUAACAUUUUACUUCUAGUUGUUUUUUUUUUUUUUUUUUUUUUUUUUUUUUUUUUUUUUUACAAAUCACCUAUAUGUAUUAGCUUUCAAAAGAUUUAAAAAUUAAAAAUACUAGAUUGUCAGCGUCUGAAGUGAUAAAAUACUUUAUGCUGGUGCCUCCUCAGUAACAGACAUUCAAAACUACAGUCAGCCCUCAGUGUUCAUGUGGUCUGAAUCCAACCACAGAUAGAAAAUAUUUGAAAAAACUUUUUUUGGUGGGGCACAGUGGCUCACACCUGUCAUCCUAGCACUUUGGGAGGCUGAGGUGGAGGACUGCUUGAGCCCAGGAGGUUGAGGCUGCAAUGAGCUGUGACUGUGCCUCUGCACUGUAGCCUGGUGACAGAGUGAGACCCUGUCUCAAAUAAACAAUGUUUAAAACACAGACACACACGGUAUAACAGCUAUUUAUGCAGCAUUUAUGUUGUGCUAGGUAUCUGUAACCUGGAGAUGAUUUAAAGGGUAAGGAAAGAUGUGUGCAGGUUCUAUGCAAAUAUUAUACCACUGUAUAGCAGGGACUUGAGCAUCUGUGAAUUUUGUAUCCUCAGGGGUGGGGGGAGGGGGUCCUGGAACCAAUCUCCCUUGGAUACCAAGGGACGACUGCACUUCACUGACCUUGUUGAAAGCAACUGACAUCACACACACCAAUGAGUGCAUGUAAAAGCAGUAAAAUUGGAAUAGGUUCUGUGGCUAGGGGAAGCUCAACGGUACUUUGUCAGCUGUGAUGCUGCUCUACAGUGAUGGGGGAUGCUACCACUGGGGAAACUGAAGGGCACGCAGGCCUCCCUGUACGUUCUGUUGCAACUUUCUCUGAGUCUGUAAUUAUUUCUAAAUAAAAGGCUAAAACAAAACCACAACUAUGCCAUGUAAAGGCUCACAUGUAAAUCUAUGUUCUAACUAUGGUGCUGCUCUAACCCCCCCAAUCUGAGUCAUGCCUUUCCUUGCCUAUUUCCCCAUCUAUAAUUGAGGGCGGGCGACAGCCUUCCAGAGUAAAUUAAGUCACAGAGGGAAUCCUGAGAGGUGAGCAGUAGAAAGAAGACUUCUGUCAAAUUCUUUCUGAGCCUAAAAUAAAAACAAAGACAACACACAUCCAAGUCUUUGCCGGCUUUCCUUGGGUGCCUGGCGGGGCCACAGGCUUCAGGCAGCACCUGGCUUCAGUGUCUACAAGAGCAGUGGAGACAGCUGCAGAUCUGUGUUUAGACCUGAUGAGCAAGUCCAUGAAACAAACACAAAGCCCAGACACUGAAACCAUAGCAUUAACACCAAAAAGCCGGCCGGGUGCGGUAGCUCACACCUGUAAUCCCAGCACUUUGGGAGGCUGAGGCAGGUGGAUCGAGACCAGCCUGGCCAACAUGGUGAAACCCCAUCUCUACUAAAAAUACAAAACCUAGCCAGGCGUGGUGAUGCAUGCCUGUACUCCCAACUCCUUGGGAGGCUGAGGCAGGAGAAUCGCUAGAACCCAGGAGGCAGAGGCUGCAGUGAGCCGAGAUCACGCCACUGUACUCCAGCCUGGGUAACAGAGUGAGACUCUGUCUCUAAAGAAAAAAAAAAAAAACCACCAAAAAGCCAAAACAAAAAUAAGCCUCCCCUCCAUGGUUUUUAGAGCCUCCUCUGAUAAAGGAAACACACAGCGUGUUAGCUAGUAUCUUUU
rnacentral:lncRNA from 10 species